UAGGGAAUCUUCCGCAAUGGGCGAAAGCCUGACGGAGCAACGCCGCGUGAGUGAUGAAGGUCUUCGGAUCGUAAAACUCUGUUAUUAGGGAAGAACAAAUGUGUAAGUAACUAUGCACGUCUUGACGGUACCUAAUCAGAAAGCCACGGCUAACUACGUGCCAGCAGCCGCGGUAAUACGUAGGUGGCAAGCGUUAUCCGGAAUUAUUGGGCGUAAAGCGCGCGUAGGCGGUUUUUUAAGUCUGAUGUGAAAGCCCACGGCUCAACCGUGGAGGGUCAUUGGAAACUGGAAAACUUGAGUGCAGAAGAAGAAAGUGGAAUUCCAUGUGUAGCGGUGAAAUGCGCAGAGAUAUGGAGGAACACCAGUGGCGAAGGCGACUUUCUGGUCUGUAACUGACGCUGAUGUGCGAAAGCGUGGGGAUCAAACAGG
rnacentral:rRNA from 1 species